UUCGAAAUCAAAGGCUCCAAUGUCGAACAUGAGGAAGUAUCUGCAGGACCCCACCUGUAUCUUUCCAUCCUGGGCUCCAGAGGCGAUCACGUGGGAGUCGUGACUUACUGCCAGACAUAGCACAGCUUCAUCCAUCAUCAUGAAAUUAUCCUGAGCCUGGUACUUCAGAUCCUGCCCACAAACGGUUACAGUAUCCUCAUGAAUCAUUGUCUGGCAAGCAUUUCUCCCUGGAUGAAAGCCCAUCAUCUCGGGCUGAAUAUACUGAAAAAUGCUGUGCUGCUGCUGCUAUUCACCCAGCCAAGAACUACCAGUGCCAAUGCCCUGUCAUUUCAAUACACAACUCACUGAAUUCAUCCACAUAGAAUGCCAAAAACCUUGACGUCACAGCAGACAAAGACCUGUCAUUUUCAGCCCACAUACCAACCGCUGUCAAGACGAGUUCCACCAGAAGGAAAUCUGUAAAGUCGAACAAUUCUCACCAGAGCAGCUUAAGAUUCUGCUGUAGGACCUGGAACAAUAACACAUUUACAAUUUGUUCACAAAUGCAAAGUUUGGCUUGAUUAAAAUA